GGUGUGGAGGCAAAAAAUCACGCAGGUCCGGCAAUUGUGAUAUCCUACGUCAUCGCUGGAUCCUCUGCUAUGUUAAGCGCCUUUUGCUACACCGAAUUUGCUGAUGAGAUCCCCCUCGCUGGUGAGCGUUCGUUAACGCUUGAAUUUAUCUGCAUAUAAUACCAGCUUCACAAUCAUUCAAUAGGCACCGCGACCGUCACAAUAUGAGAAAUGCAAGAAUGAAGGGACUCUCUCAUGAUAUUUUGAUUGCUAGAAAGGAGGAGCUUUUGCAUACCUGCGGGUGGAGCUUGGCGAUUUUAUUGCUUUCAUAGGCGCAGGCAACAUAGUACUUGGAAACGUUAUUGGUAGUGCUGCCGUCGCAAGGGGGUGGACUUCUUACUUCGCGUCCCUCAUCUUCAGUGGUGUUGACGUGGGUGACAAACUACGAAUCGAAACUAAUCUUGCUGAAGGAUACAAUCAGCUCGAUCCCAUUGCUGUUGCCGUCCUCGUACUUGUUGGUAAGCACAUUCAGUAUUCUUUUUCAGGCUCGAAGUUACGGAAUGAUUCAAGAUUCAAAAAGCUGUGGCCUCUGAAGAAAAUGUGUUCUUCUAAGCGGUUUUUGGAGAAUGUAACAGGAUUGGUUGCAAUAUGGAGCACAAAAGGAGCAUCGUACGUAAAUUGGAUCGCGUCCUUGGUCAACAUGUUCAUCAUCGCAUUCAUCAUUGUUGCUGGUCUAGCACUUUCAAACUCCCACAACCUUACGGAUGACUUCUUCCAUUAUGGAGCAAGGGGCAUCUUUAGUGCAUCAUCGGUCUUAUUUUUUGCAUACCUUGGCUUCGAUGCAAUUU
rnacentral:lncRNA from 1 species